rnacentral:rRNA from 1 species
UACGUAGGGGGCUAGCGUUGUCCGGAAUCAUUGGGCGUAAAGAGCGCGUAGGCGGCCAGACAAGUCCGGUGUGAAAGUCACAGGCUCAACCUGUGAAUGCCGCUGGAAACUGUCUGGCUAGAGUCCGGAAGGGGCGAGUGGAAUUCCUGGUGUAGCGGUGGAAUGCGCAGAUAUCAGGAAGAACACCGACGGCGAAGGCAGCUCGCUGGGACGGUACUGACGCUGAGGCGCGAAAGCGUGGGGAGCGAACAGG